UACGUAGGAGGCAAGCGUUGUCCGGAAUUACUGGGCGUAAAGCGCGUGUAGGUGGUGGGACAAGUCUGCUGUGAAAGCGCCUGGCUUAACCGGGCGAGGUCGGCGGAAACUGUCGCACUCGAGGACGGUAGAGGGGGGGUGGAAUUCCCGGUGUAGUGGUGAAAUGCGUAGAGAUCGGGAGGAACACCUGUGGGCGAAGGCGGCCCCCCUGGGCCGGCCCCUGAC
rnacentral:rRNA from 1 species